UCCGAGUUGACCCCGGCAGUCUUCGAUGAGUCCCCGGCAUAACCCGCUGGCAACAUCGAACGAGGGUUGCGCUCGUUGCGGGACUUAACCCAACAUCUCACGACACGAGCUGGCGACAGCCAUGCACCACCUGUGAACGGCCCCGAGGGACCCCCCAUCUCUGGAGGAUUUCCGCCCAUGUCAAACCCAGGUAAGGUUCUUCGCGUUGCAUCGAAUUAAUCCACAUGCUCCGCCGCUUGUGCGGGCCCCCGUCAAUUCCUUUGAGUUUUAGCCUUGCGGCCGUACUCCCCAGGCGGGGCGCUUAAUGCGUUAGCUACGGCACGGAUCCCGUGGAAGGAAACCCACACCUAGCGCCCACCGUUUACGGCGUGGACUAC
rnacentral:misc_RNA from 1 species